AUAAAAUUGCAUUUUCCCGACAC
rnacentral:siRNA from 1 species